rfam:Stegodyphus mimosarum contig63195, whole genome shotgun sequence.
GCCUUCGUGGUGUAGUGGUCAACACACUCGGCGCGUAUUCGAGAGGUCCGUGGUUCGAGUCCCGGCGACGGUA